rnacentral:lncRNA from 10 species
AUGGCGCUGACUGCUUUGAUGAAAAUAGAACUGAGCAAUGCAUAUGGAGGGGUGACAGGAGACCAGAGGGGUGUCAAGGGCCUCUCCUGAGCUGAGAGUGGGAUGAGGAUAAGAAGCCAGCCAGGCCCUCAGCCUAGCGGUGCAGAGAGGACAUGGAUCUUCCCGAGAUGCCCACAGUCUAUGAGAGAGAAAGACCAAGAAACCGCUGGAGGACUGGGACAGAGGAUGGAACUCAGAGGUGAGAGGGUUGGACUCUGGAUGUUUCCUUUGGAAAACUGCAGACAGUAAGUGAUCCUAUGUGUAUGUGUGGCGGAGACUGGAGACUGUGCAGGGCUUGGAGAACCCAUGAGGCUCCCAUGGACUUAUUUACUCCCAGCUGCAAUAUCAGCAAGCCACUGUUGACCCAGAUCCUAUGUGGCCAGCUGCCCUGCUAUUUGAGUCCUCCUUGCGGCUGGGCGCAGUGGCACACACCUGUAAUCUUAGUACUUCGGGAGGCCGAGGUGGGUGAAUCACAAGGCCAGGCAUUCGAGACCAGCCUGGCCAACAUAGUGAAACCCCAUCUCUACUAGAAAUACAAAAAUUAGCUGGGCGUGGUGGCGGGAGCAUGUAAUCCCAAC